CUUUGUACACGCGGGAGCUCGGAGCACCGGGCUGAGAGGGCGCUGACCUCCGUCCCAGCGAUGUUUCACGUGGAACGUCGUCACCAGUGAGUGACGUUGCCCACGAAACAUCGACAGACGGAAACCGCUGCGUCGACCGCCGAACCUGUUACCGGGUAAUGCCGGCGUAGGGAGUAGGUCUCAUGACCAU
rnacentral:ncRNA from 18 species